GAAAUGCGAUACGUAAUGUGAAUUGCAGGAUUCAGCGAAUCAUCAAAUUCUUGAACGCAAAUGGCGCUCCGCGGCUCGUCCGUGGAGCAUGUCUGUUUGAGUGUCAGUAACAUCCUCACAACCUCUCCUAUGAGGGGGAGUGGAUUGAUGACGGUUGGCGGUCCUCAGCGACGUCAUCCGUUGAAGCGCAGAGGAGUCCCGGCUUCAAUCUAGCCGCGACGUGGUGAAGUAGGAAUCUCACGAUUUACAACUACACCGCUCGCGCCGGAGCACGGACGUCUCCUUAGACAAGGGAAGGCCCUCUUUUCUCUCUCAGGCCCUCGCGGCCUGCUUGCAGACGAGAGAGCCCCUACCUACAACAAUGACCUCAAAUCAGGCAAGACUACCCGCCGAAUUUAA
rnacentral:misc_RNA from 1 species